CCUACGGGUGGCAGCAGUGAGGAAUAUUGGUCAAUGGACGAGAGCCUGAACCAGCCAAGUAGCGUGAAGGAUGACUGCCCUAUGGGUUGUAAACUUCUUUUAUAUGGGAAUAAAAUGUUCCACGUGUGGGAUUUUGUAUGUACCAUAUGAAUAAGGAUCGGCUAACUCCGUGCCAGCAGCCGCGGUAAUACGGAGGAUCCGAGCGUUAUCCGGAUUUAUUGGGUUUAAAGGGAGCGUAGGGGGAUUGUUAAGUUAGUUGUUAAAGUUUGUGGCUCAACCGUAAAAUUGCAGUUGAAACUGGCAGUCUUGAGAACAGUAGAGGUAGGCGGAAUUCGUGGUGUAGCGGUGAAAUGCUUAGAUAUCACGAAGAACUCCGAUUGCGAAGGCAGCUCACUGGACUGCAACUGACACUGAGGCACGAGAGUGUGGGUAUCAAACAGGAUUAGAUACCCGAGUAGUC
rnacentral:rRNA from 1 species